UACAGAGGGGGCAAGCGUUGUCCGGAAUUAUUGGGCGUAAAGAGCUCGUAGGCGGCUUGUCGCGUCGGCUGUGAAAACCUGGGGCUCAACCCCGGGCCUGCAGCCGAUACGGGCAAGCUAGAAUUCGGUAGGGGAGACUGGAAUUCCUGGUGUAGCGGUGAAAUGCGCAGAUAUCAGGAGGAACACCGGUGGCGAAGGCGGGUCUCUGGGCCGAUAUUGACGCUGAGGAGCGAAAGCGUGGGGAGCGAACAGG
rnacentral:rRNA from 1 species